UACAAAUGUGAUCAAAUUAUCUCAAAUCAUCAACGUCUUCAAACAUGGAUACUUGCCACAAAUAUAGAAGCUUAAUCUGCAAGGUCAUACAAAGAGUGUCGAUAAGUUAAUUCUGGACUUAGCCGUUAUACAAGCAAAUUGUUGAUAGAGUUACUUUGUUAUUUUUUAUUUCAUCAAAGAUGUGCCAAUUUACGAUAUGAUUUUACAUACCUUAACGGAAAUUAAGAUUAUAGAUUUGUCAAAAGGAGGCAUCCAAACUGCAAUAGAGCUUAGAAUUUCACUACAAAGAGGAACCUCCACAAUCCUUCCUGUCAUCCUCCUUUUUGAAGGAACAAAGAGGAAUUGCUGAAGCAAGAACCACAAAACAUUUACUUGAAUGAUGAUACUUUAGGAAAAAUAAAAAGAUUCUUUAACCAUUAUUCUAAACUACAGUAGAAUUUGGAAGAUGUAACAUUGCGAUCAAAGAACACAAUUUGAAAGUUUAAGAUAAAUUAGUUUUAAAAUCUCACACAUUUAAAGUAGGAAAAGAUUUUACGACAAGAAUAUCUGAAAACUAACAGAUACUUUUACCUGAGCAUAAAUGCAACACAAUGAAAAUUAACGGUAAAAAGAUAUAAAGCAUAUCACUGAUUUAUUAACAUUUCUAUUAAGUAAAAGACUUUUUAAUCAUUAGUUUUGUUAAUAGAAAAAUUGACCAGAUAAUUUCUGAUAAAGGACAAAUAUAAAAUUCAAUAGAACAAAAAGGGAAAAAUAAUGUUAUUGCAAAAAUAUAAUAGUAGCUCAAACCGUUAGCAAAUAAAAAUAUAUGACUCGUUUUGAAGUAAGUAGCAGCAAAGGACCUUACUAACUUUGUGAUACCAUGGUCGUUCCUGUAGGAUCCCCUUUUCCUUCUUCUUUCUAUUAGUUUAGCUUGAAUCAACAAAGCUCCACCCCAUAACACCUAGCCAUGUGUUUCUCGCAUCUAUAUAUCUGCAGUAUCAUCAAGUCACAUAUUUCACAGUAAGCCCAUCAAUAAAUCUAUAAUUGAGACACCAUACUUGAAGUAAGUUAAAUAUAAUGUGGGAAGUUAAAUAUAAUUUGGGAAAUGAUAUAUUAUACUCACUUGGACAUGAACAAAGAGUUUCAUCAAAAGGUACACAAGAACAUAAACCCAGAAAACUCAACUUUUGUGUAUCCACCAUCACAUGAACUUUGAAUUCAUGUGAAGAUCCAUUAUAUAUUUGCUUCACAGAUUUCAUGCGAAGCAUCUUCAAUAAGUAAAUACUUAGAGACCAAAAAAUACAUGUCUCAUUCAUCAAUACAUAUAAAAAAAAUAUAAAUGUCAAACUUCAUUUUUUUUAAAAAGAAAGUCAUUUAAAAAAAAAAAAAAAGGCUCAAAUCCUUAUAGAUAAAGAUGUCUAAACCACUAACCUCUAAGAAAUAUAGAAUCGAAGGCACUAUUUUCAUAGAAAUUCAAAAUUUAACCACGACAUAUAAAGACAAUCAAUCUUUUUAUAAUACCAAAAAUAGAUGAUUUUUGGAUGGUGACUCGGAGACCCUUCAAGUCCUUUGUAGUUUUCCUUGCAAUGUCUUCACUGAUUUUGGAGCGAGAGAACUUGCUGCGUUGACUUCACCUCGAGUGAUCGAAUGAAAAACUCAAUGACUCGAUAGGGAUUGAACUUUGAUGGUGUUCUAGCACAAUUAUGAAACAGAGAAGAGCAGAGCUAUUUUUGUGCAUGUGUAUCACUACUAUAUGCUUUCCGAAAUUGUCAUAUCAUUUUUCAGAUUGCCACUUUCGAAAUCUUUUCUCUAGCUAAAGUAUCAGUGGUAAUCUACCCCUCUUACAGUCCGUCUAAGAAGCAAUAAUAUACUUUCAUUUUUAUUUUGGUUCUAGGUUUGGAGAUUUCUGUUGUGAUAUAUUUGUAUGAUUCAAGAACAUAUUUCUUUCCUAAGACCUUCCUCCACUCCUCGAUAAAAAUCUUCUUAAUGUAUGUGAGUCUAUGAUCUUCUCCUUAGUCCAAAAAGGGUGGACCACUGAUGAAAAACUUAAUGAAGCAAGGAAUGAGGAACAUAGUUGUGAAUACACUAAAUAACCACAAGCUCCCCAAUUUGUUAAAUUGAGAUAAUUAUACACAUACGUACGUACAUACAUACAUACAUACAUGUAAUGAAGGAGUUUCUCAUCCAAGGUCAACCAGCUGUGUAGUGUUUUGAAAAAUAACCUUUUCAACUAAGUCACUAUACCUACCACUGAAUUAUUUGGCAUUUUUAGAAUGUCACGCUUAUGAAAUUCAAUAAAAAAACAUAUUGAGAUAUAAUAUAAAUUAAAAUAUGUAUUAAACCACAUUUUGGCCUUCAUUAUUUCAUAGAAUGAUAUUUGGUAUUCAAUAACUAAUUAAACAAAAAAUAAAAUAUAACAAUGCAUGAACUAUCUUAAGUCACAGGAAUCAACAUUGUUAACUCUUCCAUCUGGAUUGAUCAUAAAACAGAGAAAAGAAGAUGUAAACUCAGCACUAAUGAAUAAAUUUACUUAAUUUUAGUCGAGUAGUUAUCAUCCAAAUCUGAAAUACCAAAAUGUUGAACAUGGAAGAAUGUUUUCUCAUCAGAUUUCGUCAACUAUAACAAAUUACUAACUCCACUUCUGUUUAAGAGCAUAGCCAUUUUUAUAUCUAAAUUAAAUGUGAUAAUUGUCGUACAUUGACGGCAAGCGAUAAAAUAGUAACAUAACGAUGAAUUUUUAGUGAGGAUUUCAUUGAUGCUCUCUUAGGUACGUGCUACAUUUGCACCUCGCUGGAUAUUCAAUAGGUAACAGUUUCUAUCACAAAGAAAUUCGGUUAUAGGAACCUUAACAAAGUUCAAUGGCACAGGAGAUUCUUAAAGACCACUUCCAAAAUAAUAAAAAACAGAUAUUAUUUUAUACUAUAAAAAAUUCUAAUUUCAAAGAAAAAUUGGAAAGAAGAAAAAUGCAUACCAUGAAAGAGUAACAAUUCAUAACUUCACUAAUAUUUUAAUAUCAAUGUACCCAUUAGUCUCCCCAAUGUAUUUUCUUCUAAGUCUAAAUGAAAUAAGAAAAAGGACUAAUAAUUUCAGAGGACAAAGUGAGUCAAUUUCGAUUAUUAUUUUUAAAACGCCGAAAAUCACUGUACUAUAGACUAUUCUUGCAAUCUUACAAUUUUUCAAUUUGAAGAAAAAGUAAAAUAACAUACCAAACACCAAAAUAAAAUAAAAUUACAGUAGCAGUGAACAAUACUCAAGAUCUCAUACCUUGCAUCUUUACU
rnacentral:lncRNA from 1 species